GUCCCUGUCGAUUAGUGGUUAGAUCAUCACGUUGUGGUAUCGGGUUUCGAACGUCCGUUCUUACUCGAGUACAAGCCGUGGGGACGCAGGCUCGAAUCCUGCCAGGGACA